GCAUAACGCGAAGAACCUUACCUAGGCUUGACAUGCAUCUCUAAGCGCGUGAAAGCGCGUGACCCUUCGGGGGAUUUGCACAGGUGCUGCAUGGCCGUCGUCAGCUCGUGUCGUGAGAUGUUGGGUUAAGUCCCGCAACGAGCGCAACCCUUGUGAUUAGUUGCCAGCACGUCAUGGUGGGAACUCUAAUCAGACUGCCCAGAUCAACUGGGAGGAAGGUGGGGACGACGUCAGGUCAGUAUGGCCCUUACGCCUAGGGCUGCACACGUACUACAAUGCCCAGUACAAUGAGAACCGAGACCGCGAGGUGGAGGAAAUCUAAAAACUGGGCCCAGUUCGGAUUGGAGGCUGCAACUCGCCUCCAUGAAGCCGGAAUCGCUAGUAAUGGCACAUCAGCUACGGUGCCGUGAAUACGUUCCCGGGUCUUGUACACACCG
rnacentral:rRNA from 1 species